rnacentral:rRNA from 1 species
CAGCAGCCGCGGUAAUACGUAGGUGGCGAGCGUUGUCCGGAAUCAUUGGGCGUAAAGGGAGCGCAGGCGGGCAUGUAAGUCUUUCUUAAAAGUGCGGGGCUCAACCCCGUGAUGGGAAAGAAACUACAUGUCUUGAGUACAGGAGAGGAAAGCGGAAUUCCCAGUGUAGCGGUGAAAUGCGUAGAUAUUGGGAGGAACACCAGUGGCGAAGGCGGCUUUCUGGACUGCAACUGACGCUGAGGCUCGAAAGCCAGGGGAGCGAACGGGAUUAGAUACCCCCGUAGUCCCUGUCUCUUAUACA